rnacentral:rRNA from 1 species
GUGCCAGCAGCCGCGGUAAGACGAAGGGCGCAAGCGUUAUCCGGAAUUACUGGGCGUAAAGGGCGUCUAGGCUGCCCGUCAAGUCGACGUUGAAAUUCCUCGGCUAAACUGAGGGAGGUACGUCGAAACUGGCAGGCUAGAGGGACGUAGAGGUAAGCGGAACUCUCGGAGUAGCGGGUAAAUGCGUAGAGACCGAGAGGUACCCCGAUGGUGAAGACAGCUUACUGGGCGUCUCCUGACGCUGAAGCGCUAAGGCCAGGGGAGCAAAGGGGAUUAGAUACCCCCGUAGUCCUGGCUUCAAACGAUGUGGGCUUGGUGUCGGCCCCCUAUAGAGGGUCGUUGCCGGAGUUAACGCGUUAAGCCCACCGCCUGGGGAUUACGUCCGCAAGGAUGAAACUCAAGGGAAUUGACGGGGGCCC